rnacentral:lncRNA from 1 species
CUGCAGUCUAGCUCACAGCCUGUGACUUCAGUGAAGUUGCUCUUACUAAUGUCAUUAAUGAACGAAUUGCCAAAUUGGACUCUUCCUAUUCUUCAUAUCACUUGUUCUUUCUGUUGUACUUUAAUCUGUUGGCGUCUUUUUCUAGAAAAAGUCUUGCCUUCCUCCUACUCUUUGGUCACUUUUCAGUCUUCUUUUCAGGUUCUUCCAUCCAGCGUUGUCCACCAUUUGAAUGUUGAUGUUCCUCAGCCUUCUGUCCUUGUCCUUAUCUUUUCACAGUACAUGGUCUUCUUGGGUGGCUUCAAUUCACAUCCUUAUUGCUGAGCUCCACACCCAUAUGGUCACUUAAUUACUGGUUAGUAUUCCUUGGACAUUCUACAGACAAAGUAAACAUAUCCAAAGAACUCAAUCUGCACUGCUCACGGGUGCCUUCUCCUUUAUUCUCUAUCUUGGUGAGUGGCACCAUUGUCCACCUAGAUAAUGAAAAUUGUCCCCAAGCCUUCUCUUCUUCUACUACACUGUCACCCUAUCCUUUUGUUUCUGUAUCUCCCCAAUAUGCUUCCUCUGUUUAAGCCUUAGUGCCCCUGCCUUCAUUCAGGCCCCCAUCAUAUCUCUUAACUGGAGUUUACAACACCUUCCUUUGUUCACUCUGCCUGCAUUCUAACCCUCCUCCAAUUUCUGUAUCCUUCACACCUCCACCACGUUAGUAUUCCGAAAACAUGACUUUCAUUCUUUUACUUGAUCAAAAAGUUCAAUAGCUCCUUAUGACCAACAGAAUAUAGCCCACUUGCCUUUCCAGCCUUACCCCAGCCUCUCCCUUACGCAAGCUUUCUACUGCAGCCAUGCCUGGUAUAUCCCAUUUGCAUUUUUGCCUUUGCUCAUGCUGUUUCCCAUCCCGGAGUGCCCAUCCUCUUCCUGACCACAUGUCCUGAAUCUUCCUCAACCUUUAAGGCCAACUUUAUAUUCUGCUUCUUCCCAGAACACUUCAGUCCACAAGGAUAACAACAAACAUUUUCAGAGCACUUGGCAAUUUACAAAAUACAUCUGCCUGAAGGUACAGCACUACCAGCCUCAUUUUACGUGUGUGAAAACUGAAGCACAGAAGAAUUGGGUGACUUGUCAGACGCUGCAUAGGUGGUCAGGUACAGAGCCUGGGCCUAGCCUUUAGUCUUCUCUCUCCAGAUCCCCUGCUUUUACCUCAGUGACCAGUCCCUCUCUGACCUUACAGCAUUAUGAUCUUCAUCCCUCCAUCAACCUUAAUCACUUACUGCAUGUGACCAGCAGGAAGAGGGGUCUUGAGAAUAGGAGGGGAGAUCAAAGAAGACAUCGUCGUCUAUUUGACAUCAAAACUGGCCAGUAAGUGCACAAGAAAUGAGCUGGGUUACCUGGAACCUAACCUUGGGAAGAUGAUCUGUCAAUGGAGUACAGCAUGGCUUUGUGACAUCUCAGGCAUC